AGAUCACUGCAAGAAGUCCUAGGAGUCACUCCAGCGGAAGAGACACUCCGGGGAGCAUGAUCGUCAUGCACUUGGUUGGGCAUCCUCAGCUGACAGGGACGGAAGGUGUGGCCACUGCUCACACCAAGGAGAACUCAUCCAGGGGCCCAAGAGAGACCAGGGAGCCUGCUCCUUGCACAAGGUCCUGGAGGAGCCGCUUCCAGAGAGCUGUGGCACGAGUGUCCAAGUUCUUCAGGAGAAGACGCCGAUCAACCUGAAGCUGAGACCAGUGGAAUCCUAGAUACUGGGCCGGGCCAAGGACUGUGAUCAAGAUCAUUGGCUGCGCAGCUCCUUGCUGUCCCAAGAAUCUUGUCCAGUGAUGUUGAAAUAAAUGCUGGCAGACUUUCAAAUUUUCUUUGA